rnacentral:rRNA from 1 species
AUUGAACGCUGGCGGCAUGCCUUACACAUGCAAGUCGAACGGUAACAGGUUAAGCUGACGAGUGGCGAACGGGUGAGUAAUGUAUCGGAACGUGCCCAGUCGUGGGGAUAACUGCUCGAAAGAGCAGCUAAUACCGCAUACGACCUGAGGGUGAAAGCGGGGGAUCGCAAGUCCUCGCGCGAUUGGAGCGGCCGAUAUCAGAUUAGGUAGUUGGUGGGGUAAAGGCCUACCAAGCCUACGAUCUGUAGCUGGUCUGAGAGGACGACCAGCCACACUGGGACUGAGACACGGCCCAGACUCCUACGGGAGGCAGCAGUGGGGAAUUUUGGACAAUGGACGCAAGUCUGAUCCAGCCAUGCCGCGUGCGGGAAGAAGGCC